rnacentral:lncRNA from 1 species
GUUGGCUAUAAAGCCCUGAGGAUGAGCAAGUCACAAGUCAACCAGCUGUUUCUGAGAGGAGCAGCAUGGCCUUGCCGGUGGGGUUCCUGUUGCUCUGGGUCUGUGGAUUUCACCGUGUGGUCUGUCCUGACUAUGAGGAUGAUGAUCCUCCAGCUGUAGGUGAGUUGAUAAAAACUUUAAGAGUUGUUUUUUAAAUUUGGCAAUAAAAUAUAAAGUUAUUCAAUAUUAUGCUCCUUU